AUGACACGAUGCCGACGCCGCGGCUCGCCGCCGGCGCCUCCGCCGCCGCUCGAGGACGACGAUCUCCUCCGCGAGAUCCUGCUCCGCAUCCCGCCGCAGCCGUCCUCCCUCCCCCGCGCCUCCGCCGUCUGCAAGCGGUGGCGCUGCGCCGCCGUCGACCCCAAGUUCACCGCCCGCUUCCGCGCCCACCACGGGAAGCCGCCCCUCCUCGGCUUCUUCCAGCGCCGCGACGACGGCAUCGUGUUCGCCCCCGUCCUGGCCGCUCCCGACUGCGUCCCUCCCGAGCGCCUCGACCUCCGAAUCCGCGUCGCCGAUUCUGAGUCUGAGGCCCACCUCCUCGGGUGCCGCCACGGCCGCGUCCUCGUAUUCGACGUGGCGCGGGCGGAGGUCGUCGUGUGCGAUCCCAUCACGGGCGAGCAGCGCCGCGUGGCCGUCCCGCCGGAGUUCAAGACGGGCCAGGUCAACGGGGCGGUGCUCUGCGCCGACCGCGGCCAGGGACACGUGCACGGCGGCUGCCGCUCCAGCCCGUUCAAAGUGGUCUUGGUGUUCAUGCGCAGCCAUGAUCAUCGGCCCCUCGCCUGCGUCUACUCCUCCGAGACCGACACAUGGGGCCAUCUCAUCCCGACAGAGGCUCCACACCCAGGUUCGGCUUGUUGCGGUGGUGCUCAGAGCAUCCUCAUUGGCAAUGUUCUUUACUGGCCGCUAAAGCAUGCGAAGUACGGCAUACUUCAGUUUGAUUUGGAUAGGCAGAGUCUUGAUGUGAUCGAGACGCCUCUUGGUAUGAAUGUUCCCCGCAACCAUGAUAUCGUCCAGGCAGAGGAUGGCACUCUUGGUCUCACCAUAUUGUCUCACCAUUACCAUAACAUUCAAAUGUGGCAGCGAAAGGUCAAUUGUCAAGGUGUUGCCACAUGGGUGCUGUGGAAGACCACCGAAAUGCAUGACAUUCUUGGGCUCUCUCCUCCGACUGAGGUAGUGAAAAGGGGGGUGGAACUGAUACUGGGAUACGACCAGGAUGCUAAUGAAAUGCUAUUGUAUCUGGGCGGCACUGUCUAUAUUGUUCAACUGAAGUCGAUGCAAUCAAGAAAACUUUGGGAAAGCCAACAUGUUACCGCUUGUCAUUCCUUCAACAGUUUCUACACGCCAGGUGAAUGA
rnacentral:rRNA from 1 species